rnacentral:lncRNA from 1 species
AUGGAUAAUGCCAGUGAUGAGUAUGGCCUCUUCACAGCCUAUGGUGAAUCUCAUCUGCCAUCUGUCGCCCCGCAGCUUGGCUUUGUUCAGCAGCAGAGGAGCUCUUCAGUCCUCACUGUGCUGAGCAAUUGUUACUUCUCACCCUUGUCAGCUCUACAGAAACAAAGCACCGCUGGAGUGAAUGGUUUUUAUUCUCCACGUAUAAUUAAUCAUCAAUUAAGCUUCAGGAGCAGGCCACCUAUAAAAUGUCGCCCACUUAUUCUUGAUGUACCUCAGGCUAACAGCAACACACAUGGACCAGGUAUUGCUCUCCAGAUUUGUGCCAGAGAGUGCCCUGGAGUUCUGAGGGUGACUGAAGUGUUCCAAUUCAUCAUCCACUCUCUCAGUGUCUCCAAACCUGUGGAAAAUGCCUCACAUCUCAUACUGACCUGGCAAAUGCUUGAACUGUUUGGUGUUAAGCAAAGCAUCCUGGCACCCUGUUAUGGCACUAAGGCCAGCUGUCACAGAGUGGCUUGCAACUGCACUAGUAAAGUCUUACCCUUCAGCACAGGGCAUCAACAUCCACACCACCUAUUGGAAUUCAUACCAGGGCUGUACUAAUUCUUGAACUAUGGCUGACGAGGUCCUAUAUAGCACAACCAAAGAUGUGCUUGCAACUCUUCCAAUUAUUCCAGCUAUUCCAAACUAUUCUAACUGUAAUUUUACAAUACAGCUGAUAGACUUCCCUUACCCAAGAAUGUUUCCUGACACUGUUUAACUUAGCAAUAUAUAACCCUAGAGAUUGGAUCAGUAAGAGAGUAUCAAGAAUCACAUAGACAUAGCCCAAGGAUUCUGAUUUCUAUGUCCUGGCUUCAGGACAUUUAGAAGUAAACCUCUACUGAUUUUAAGAGUCAUGGUGACACUGAGGUCCCUGUGCACAGGUAUUGCCUCUGCUUGAAGAUCUUGUCCCAGUGCUGCAGGCUGAGUGGGCUAGGCUUAGAAGGGAAUGAUGGUCUCCCUUGAAAGGCUGAGAUGGUUAACACUAAAUGAGGUGACAUUUACCCUGAGCUGUGGGUUGACAACACACAUUUCCAGAGCUCACCCUGGUCAGAUGAGAUCAGACCUAAUUUUUCAGUAUGCAGCUACUAGACACUUUUGAUCUUGGGCUCGAUCUUUUAUCUUUUAUGUGUAUAUAUCAGCAGAAUACUAUAGAUUUAGAAUUAGAUCAACUAAACUGUUUCUCCUCAGGAGCCUAUGUGUUUUGAUCAGUGCUGAAUCAACUUAGGUAGCAGGUCAGAAUGUUUUUCUCAUGAGUUUUGGGCUGAGAAUGUUACUCUAGCUUUUAGAUUCUGGAUGUACUAGGUGAUGUUUUGAGUUAAAAAGGGGAUUUUCGGAGCCUUGUUGUCAGGGCUAGUAGAACGACUACCUUCUGAAAUCUGUAAGGACAGACUCAGAUGAAAAUAGCCUAGAAAACCAGGUGGUACAGGGAAUGGUUUCCAAAAUCAGGGUAACUCCUCUGAAAUUCAUCCCCUUCAAGGCUUCUCCUUUUUAAAGAAGAGACUUCUAUCACAAGUCCCUCUGCCUGUUUUGGCUGAUGCAGUGUGACACGAGGCAAGCAGUUUAAAUGCCAAGGCAGUUGAUCCAAUGUGCACAGACUGACACUGAGAAAGAAAACCCAAGUGGUUUUAUUCUGAAACCAUGUCCUUAACUGACUCAUCAAAGUUAUUUUUGUUUUGUUACACUAGAGUAAUAUGACUUAGUGAUGAAGCCUUUUUCUCCUAAACAGCCUACCCAUGAUAUUUGUUUGUUGUCUUUGUAAGUACAUUCUAUUAAUGGCAUAUAUUUUUAUUGUGUGGAUGAUGCAAUGUUAGAAGCUGCUCUCCACACAGUUCAAUCUGAGAUUGCAUGCCAUAACAUUGCUUACAUUGAUAUGAAUACUACUUGAGCUUACAUUGUCAGAGGUAGUGAUCUCAACAGGGUAGUAAAACAGCUGAUUACUUCCUGAAGCACCUCUUUAAAUCAGGAAUCCUCACAAUAAAAUUACUUUUAAGAAUCCUUUUAAUAUUGGA